GACGAACGCUGGCGGCGUGCUUAACACAUGCAAGUCGAACGGAAAGGCCCUGCUUUUGUGGGGUGCUCGAGUGGCGAACGGGUGAGUAACACGUGAGUAACCUGCCCUUGACUUUGGGAUAACUUCAGGAAACUGGGGCUAAUACCGGAUAGGAUCUCCUGCUGCAUGGUGGGGGUUGGAAAGUUUCGGCGGUUGGGGAUGGACUCGCGGCUUAUCAGCUUGUUGGUGGGGUAGUGGCUUACCAAGGCUUUGACGGGUAGCCGGCCUGAGAGGGUGACCGGCCACAUUGGGACUGAGGUACGGCCCAGACUCCACCGGGAGGCAGCAGUGGGGAAUAUUGCACAAUGGGCGGACGCGUGAUGCAGAAACGCCGCGUGCGGGAUGACGGCUUUCGGGUUAUAAACCGCUUUCGCCUGUGACGAAGCGUGAGUGACGGUAAUGGGUAAAGAAGCACCGGCUAACUACGUG
rnacentral:rRNA from 1 species